AGGGAGGGCCCUGUUUUCAUAUUAAUCUUGUGGUUAAGUUGGAGUCUGGGUAAAGUGGUAGAAAUUCCUUUGUAAUUUAUCUGGCAGAGUAAGAUUUCAGUCAGACAAGGUACUUACAAUUGAGAAACCAGCUUCUCUCCAGCCAUAAAGCAUGCUAAUUGGAAAGCUGUGGGCAGACUUCCUGCCAAAAAGCAGGGAAUCUUCUCAAAUAUUAAUGAUACCCUCCUGCCAAACUUUUGGAUGCUAUCAUGAAUCUGGUGGCUUACAGCUUUAUGUCACUUCAUCAUGUCUUUGAUCUUGCUGUUGGUGUACCCCAAAGAAGUACUACUCUCUGUGGUGGGGCUGUGAGACACAGUGUAGAAGCACUUAUGGGCUUGGGAGGGAAAACUGGUGUCUACGCAGGUGGACACAUCCCAUAAAGAUGACCUGCAUUACAAGCUGAAACAGAUAACGAUGAAUACAUUCCAGAGUCACACCAAACUCAGUAAGGACUUUAAAUUGUUCUACAAUCAUAGAAUGUGGAUGGCAUUGCUAGCAAACAUAGAAGACAAUGGGAAUAAAGUCAAUGAGUCAUUCAUUCAGAGAUUAUAACAGAAAAUGAUCAUUCGGGAGAAACAAGAAGUCUUCCAACUAUGUUGGGAAAAUGUUUUAAGGGAAGGAUAGCAUUGGCUAUAAGGUGCAGCUGAGUGAUCGCAUACACAGUUUAUGGGAUGUUCAAGAGCUCCUAACUUAUUUUUGAGCAGCUUAACGAAAUUAAUGCUGUUUCUCCAGAUGCCUAAUUCACUCCACAGAAGUGGUCUCCAUCUCAAAUCUCAACCAGAAGUUGAUUUGGAAGCUGGCAGGCAUGCAUCCUUGGCAACUGAGACAUCAGCAAUGAGAGAAGAGCCUGCAACCUUCCCCUCUGCCCAGGAACAGAAUCAUCUUAUUGGCUUUAAUGUUUAGAUUCUGGCUCAAGGGUCUAUAACCCAGAACCCUUAAGGGGUAUUGGAGGACCAUAGAAGGCAACCACUGUGCAAGAGGCCCUGUGUGCAUUCCCGGGUGGGCAACAGUGCUCCAGUUGGUGCCUCACCACCAUGAAAGUUGUCUCAAGACAUUGGACAGUCUCCUAAUGACACUUUGGCUGAGUGACACAAGCAGUAGUCAAGAUAAACCACAGGAAAGACAGAGGUGGGACACGACCUUGACUCUUUGACUAAUAACAAUAUUUCAUUUCAUGAUUCUCACCAUUCUAUUCCUGACUAGACUUGAUUGCGCUUUGUGCACUGGGAUGCCUCAUAUGGUGCCGCUGCCUUCACGAGGCCUAAGAUUAGCAAUUAGCUUCUCCUAUGAACAUUCAACCUCCACAGUGGAAAAUCAAUAAAUCAUGUUCGAUAAAGAAAUAGGGAAUGCUU
rnacentral:lncRNA from 12 species